rnacentral:rRNA from 1 species
UACGAAGGGGGCUAGCGUUGCUCGGAAUCACUGGGCGUAAAGCGCACGUAGGCGGAUUUCUAAGUCAGGGGUGAAAUCCUGGAGCUCAACUCCAGAACUGCCUUUGAUACUGGGAAUCUCGAGUCCGGGAGAGGUGAGUGGAACUGCGAGUGUAGAGGCGAAAAUUCGUAGAUAUUCGCAAGAACACCAGUGGCGAAGGCGGACUCACUGGCCCCGGUACUGACGCUGAGG